CAUGCGUGUGUGCAUGUGUGUGCACCAGGGCCACAUCUGAGGCCACUCCUUGGGCUGCACCGUGCAUUGUUCUUUGGACCCGUGAGUCCCACAGUGAACUCUGCAGGCCGGAGCUCAGCGCAUUUCUACGCCCUGUGGCCCAAUGGUUUGCCACGUCAGAAAAUCACUUGUGAGAGCGGAGCUGGCCGCUUGGAGGGCGAGGCCCACAGUGGACGACGUGAUUGGCUCCGUGUAUCCUGCAGGCUGCGCUUCGCCUCCACUGAGCUGCAGCAGGAACGUGACCACUGAGCCAUCCUGCCGCUCUGCUGUCUUCCUGCAGCUCAAGAGCCUGGCCAUGGAUGCCAUGGUUGUCGGACAUCAUCUCAGCUCCUAGGAUUAGGUCACGCGUGGUAUUUCUGGUCUGUUGACCUGCAGCUAGGGUCAUCUCUGGGGAGCGGGGGCAUGUAUACUGACGCUGAGGCCGGUGUGACCGCAAAGCCCUUGAACCCCACAGUCACGCUGUAAAAUAAAUGCCCUCGGUGCCUUCUGCACAAAGCCCUUCUGCAUAAAACCCAUCGCUCAGCCCACCGGGUCUUCACAAGGACAAAAUUGUUGAAAGUCCUUUACUUCUGAGCAUUUCUUUUUAGCAAUGUGUGCUUUACUUAUGGUGUCUUCUGCUGAGGCCGAUGUGAGUUAUUGGGCUUAUAUUCCUAAUCCACCUUUAUUUGAGCCUGCUACUUGGGGGGAAACAGAUUUGGUGUUAUACACCACUCCACACAUUGUAUCAUUUCCUUGAAAAACUUUGACUUAUUUGAAUAAGCAUGAUGGAGCUUUGUAUAAUUUUACUUAUGCUGGCUCAAAGAUGCCUUUAUGUUUAGGACAGAGACCAUGUCUCCAAAGGGGCUAUCAAAAUUGGCUAUUACCAGGAAAAAAGGUUACAGGCUCCAGACCUCAUUGCAACGAUUGACAGCUUGGUCUAUAAACCAAAAUUGGAGUAACAUUAUAUUUGUUAGUGAGCCACUAUAUUCUGUUUGUGCUCAAUUAACUUACAUAGACUUAAAGUAUCGCCCAUUCAUUUGGAAGAAUUGCCUUGGCACGUUUGGAAAAAUUAUUCAAGACAAAUGGAUACAUUGGGGUACUUAUGGUCAAUCAGAAUGGAAUGUUACCGCUUGUGAUUUGCCUAAUGUUACCAGGAGAGUGGAGAGGAGAAUGAACACCUUAAUGGAUCCUUGCUGAUGGAAUGGGGAGAUGGUGGCAUUGUUGACAAUCGAUGGCCUCUGUGGAAGAUCCCAGUGCGCUUCAAACUCAUUUGUGGAAGACUGGUGCUGCAUUAAAAGAAGUUGUGUUUGCUAAUGGAAGCUUUUCUGAGUCUGCUCAAUCUGCCUCUCAGGAUAAUUUUACCACAUAUAAGAAAGAAAAGUUUACUACUUGUACUCCUCUGCCAGAUUUGUUUUUAAUAGGUAGAUUUAAUUUUGCUAAUGGAUUUGCUUGUACUAACUGUCAUUAGUAUUCAUGUAUUAAUUCAUCUAUUCAGUUUAAUAUAAAUCAAUAUUCUAUUAUGAUAUUCAGCAAAAAAUAUAUGUAUGGAUGCCUGUUAAUUUGAGACAUCAUUGGUCUCAAGAUCCUCUUAAUUAUAUGAUUAUUGAAUUUUUUAAUAAUCUGCUGAAGUGAAGUAAAAUAAUGAUUAGAGUCAUUGUAGCUACUAUUUUAAGCCUUAUUUCUGUUGCUACUUUGGCAGCAGUGUCCAGCAUCGCAUUAAAAAUAUCUGUUCAGACAAAGCAUUUUGUUGAAGACUGGCAUAAAGAUUCACAUGAGUUGUGGAUAGAGCAAACUAAAAUUGAUAGUAGACUUCAACAUCAAGUAGAUGUUUUAAAAUAAACAGGAUGGUUGGGUCUAAAGAUGUUAUCUAUUGAAAUAUAUGUGGAUUUGAGAUAUGAUUGGAAUUCUACUUUUUGUGUUACUGAAUAUAUGUAUAAUUAUGCAGAACAGGAUUGGAAGAUAAUUCAAGCCUAUUAAGAAGGUAAUGAUAGUGCUACCAAAGUAAUUAAUGCCUUGGAAUAUGAUGUUUGAACGUCUUUUGGUAAACAGCUAGAAGAAACUACCCCUGCAGAAAUAGCUAAAUUAUUGGCUGAUCAGUUGACAGGAUUAGCUCCCAAAGCUUGGCUUCAAAGUAUUUUCCAUAGCUUGGGAGGGGCUAGUUUUGCCAUAAUAUUAUGUGCAUUAUGUAUUAUGUUGCUUUAUUUUUACAUAAUUAAACCCCUACAAGAGCAUUUAGCUAUGUUAUGGAAAGUGUUACUUUUAAAACAAAAGAAAGAAGAAGGAAUUGUUGAGACAUAGAGAUGCAGCUCCCAGGCAGGGUCAAGUAAGGACUGGUGACAGGAGCAAGUAGGGGCUGGAAUGCCGCCCUUGAGAAGAAAAUGUUUUUCUCACUUGGCCUUAAACUGUGUUCUGCUGUGUCCUGUUCCUGUGGAAGCAGUUCUCACGCUCUCUUGGUAAUGGGGAGUAUACUUUGAUAAUAAGAAGGGGGCGAUUUGUUAUGUGAAUAUUUUGAGAAGAAACCUUUGUUUAGUCGUAUUCCUUUGUUUACUUUUGCCUCAGUUGUUCCUGAUAUCGUGGGAAUAAUGAUCUUAUGGUAUCUUGCCAAAAUGGAAAUUGUAUUAAUGCAUAUUCAUAUCUACAUAAGGAUUAAUAAAGCUCGCAACUGUGUGCAGUUGCUUCUGUCUUUCUUCUGCA